rnacentral:rRNA from 1 species
GACGAACGCGUGCGGCGUGCCUAUUACAUGCAAGUCGUACGCUUCUUUUUCCACCGGAGCUUGCUCCACCGGAAAAAGAAGAGUGGCGAACGGGUGAGUAACACGUGGGUAACCUGCCCAUCAGAAGGGGAUAACACUUGGAAACAGGUGCUAAUACCGUAUAACAAUCAAAACCGCAUGGUUUUGAUUUGAAAGGCGCUUUCGGGUGUCGCUGAUGGAUGGACCCGCGGUGCAUUAGCUAGUUGGUGAGGUAACGGCUCACCAAGGCCACGAUGCAUAGCCGACCUGAGAGGGUGAUCGGCCACAUUGGGACUGAGACACGGCCCAAACUCCUACGGGAGGCAGCAGUAGGGAAUCUUCGGCAAUGGACGAAAGUCUGACCGAGCAACGCCGCGUGAGUGAAGAAGGUUUUCGGAUCGUAAAACUCUGUUGUUAGAGAAGAACAAGGAUGAGAGUAACUGUUCAUCCCUUGACGGUAUCUAACCAGAAAGCCACGGCUAACUACGUGCCAGCAGCCGCGGUAAUACGUAGGUGGCAAGCGUUGUCCGGAUUUAUUGGGCGUAAAGCGAGCGCAGGCGGUUUCUUAAGUCUGAUGUGAAAGCCCCCGGCUCAACCGGGGAGGGUCAUUGGAAACUGGGAGACUUGAGUGCAGAAGAGGAGAGUGGAAUUCCAUGUGUAGCGGUGAAAUGCGUAGAUAUAUGGAGGAACACCAGUGGCGAAGGCGGCUCUCUGGUCUGUAACUGACGCUGAGGCUCGAAAGCGUGGGGAGCAGGCAGGAU